rnacentral:lncRNA from 1 species
GGGCAUCCUUUUCUUGAAAAACGUUUUCGAUUUUGUUCGAGUUUCUUUGUUUUUCUUGAUAUUUGCGUGGUGGCUUUCUCCGAAAAUGUAAAUUUUUUUUUUUUUUUGUCGCCCUCCGGAAAAUGUAAUUAGUAGUCGUAAUUAGUAGUAUAAGAAGAUAUGGAUGGUUGAUGCAAAGAAAACUUUAUGCACACGUUGAGAUAAAGAUUGCCAUACACAUAAGAAAAUUCUUUUAGGCCUUUUUUAUUUUUACUUGGCCAUUCCCACUCUCAAAGUACAC